GACGUUUCAUAUACUUUAUUUGCUGUUUCAUAUUUUGUACUAUUUGUAUUGGAGGAAUUCCACGAUUAUUUCAGGUAUUUGACAGAGUUCUGCAUAUGAUGUAGAUAAACGUAGAGGCAUAACCUUUGUACCUCAUACGAGGGUUUCUUUUGAUGCUUCAUUGAAUAAUAAAACUAUCCAGAACCCUAUACAGUCUACUAUUUAUUCAUGCCCAGAUAGUGCGACUACAUUUUGGCGCCCACGUAAUUUGGUGGAUAGUGAAGGAUUCA
rnacentral:lncRNA from 1 species